AUUGAACGCUGGCGGCAGGCCUAACACAUGCAAGUCGAGCGGAUGACGGGAGCUUGCUCCUGGAUUCAGCGGCGGACGGGUGAGUAAUGCCUAGGAAUCUGCCUGGUAGUGGGGGACAACGUUUCGAAAGGAACGCUAAUACCGCAUACGUCCUACGGGAGAAAGCAGGGGACCUUCGGGCCUUGCGCUAUCAGAUGAGCCUAGGUCGGAUUAGCUAGUUGGUGAGGUAAUGGCUCACCAAGGCGACGAUCCGUAACUGGUCUGAGAGGAUGAUCAGUCACACUGGAACUGAGACACGGUCCAGACUCCUGCGGGAGGCAGCAGUGGGGAAUAUUGGACAAUGGGCGAAAGCCUGAUCCAGCCAUGCCGCGUGUGUGAAGAAGGUCUUCGGAUUGUAAAGCACUUUAAGUUGGGAGGAAGGGUUGUAGAUUAAUACUCUGCAAUUUUGACGUUACCGACAGAAUAAGCACCGGCUAACUCUGUGCCAGCAGCCGCGGUAAAAC
rnacentral:rRNA from 1 species